AACGAACGCUGGCGGCAGGCCUAACACAUGCAAGUCGAACGCUCCGCAAGGGGAGUGGCAGACGGGUGAGUAACGCGUGGGAACCUACCUUACGGUCGGGAAUAGCUCAGGGAAACUUGGGGUAAUACCGGAUACGCCCUUACGGGGAAAGAUUUAUCGCCGUUUGAUGGGCCCGCGUAGGAUUAGCUAGUUGGUGAGGUAACGGCUCACCAAGGCGACGAUCCUUAGCUGGUCUGAGAGGAUGAUCAGCCACACUGGGACUGAGACACGGCCCAGACUCCUACGGGAGGCAGCAGUGGGGAAUAUUGGACAAUGGGCGCAAGCCUGAUCCAGCCAUGCCGCGUGAGUGACGAAGGCCUUAGGGUUGUAAAGCUCUUUUGGCGGGGAAGAUAAUGACGGUACCCGCAGAAUAAGCUCCGGCUAACUUCGUGCCAGCCGCCGCAGUAACAC
rnacentral:rRNA from 1 species